AUUGAACGCUGGCGGCAUGCCUUACACAUGCAAGUCGAACGGUAACGGGCCUUCGGGUGCCGACGAGUGGCGAACGGGUGAGUAAUACAUCGGAACGUGCCCGAUCGUGGGGGAUAACGAGGCGAAAGCUUUGCUAAUACCGCAUACGAUCUACGGAUGAAAGCAGGGGACCGCAAGGCCUUGCGCGGACGGAGCGGCCGAUGGCAGAUUAGGUAGUUGGUGGGAUAAAAGCUUACCAAGCCGACGAUCUGUAGCUGGUCUGAGAGGAUGAUCAGCCACACUGGGACUGAGACACGGCCCAGACUCCUACGGGAGGCAGCAGUGGGGAAUUUUGGACAAUGGGCGCAAGCCUGAUCCAGCCAUGCCGCGUGCAGGAUGAAGGCCUUCGGGUUGUAAACUGCUUUUGUACGGAACGAAAAGCCUUCUUUUAAUUCAGGAGGGUCAUGACGGUACCGGAAGAAUAAGCACCGGCUAACUACGUG
rnacentral:rRNA from 1 species